rnacentral:rRNA from 1 species
AGCUAAUAGAUACCCGGGUAGUCCACGCCCUAAACGAUGUCUACUAGUUGUUGGUGGAGUAAAAUCCAUGAGUAAACGCAGCUAAACGCGUGAAGUAGACCGCCUGGGGAGUACGGUCGCAAGAUUAAAAACUCAAAGGAAUUGACGGGGGCCCGCACAAGCGGUGGAUUAUGUGGAUUAGUUCGAUGCAACGCGAAAAACUUUACCUGGCCUUGACAUGCCACUAACGAAGCAGAGAUGCAUUAGGUGCCCGUAAGGGAAAGUGGACACAGGUGCUGCAUGGCUGUCGUCAGCUCGUGUCGUGAGAUGUUGGGUUAAGUCCCGCAACGAGCGCAACCCUUGCCAUUAAUUGCCAUCAUUUAGUUGGGCACUUUAAUGGGACUGCCGGUGACAAACCGGAGGAAGGUGGGGAUGACGUCAAGUCCUCAUGGCCCUUAUGGCCAGGGCUCCACACGUAAUACAAUGGUCGGUACAGAGAGUUGCCAACCCGCGAGGGGAGCUAAUCUCAGAAAGCCGAUCGUAGUCCGGAUUGUUCUCUGC